CCAGCUUCUUGGACUCACCAUGACAGUUCUGAGGAGGUAUUUGGCACAAUACCCCUCAACCAGAAUUUGUCCGCUAUUUUCCUAGGGGUUUGACUGGAGUUACACGUUUCAGGGAAGAAGGCCACAGAGAUGCCACUGUUUGGAAGGAAGUCACUACACACUGCCACACAUAAGGGAUGGAGAAGGGGAUGCCUUCUUGUGUAAGGAAGUGCUGCAUAAAUUAUUUGCAAUUCUUCUGCUCCAGG